rnacentral:snoRNA from 2 species
AUUCCAUGAUGAGGGCAGUUCUUAAUCAUCAUAUUGAAACGCUCAAAGGUUUCAUGAUACAUUUCACCUUGUUGUUGUUGGAAACUCCUCAACCCCUUCCUAGCAU